GGCUCCUGCGCGGGAAAAGCCGAGGUUGCCACCGCAGGCCUGGCACGACCAGGGCCCGGAUGCCCCGCCCGGCCCGGCCCCCGCGCGCACAGGUACCUGGAGACGAUUUCAACUGAAGUAAUGAAGGCAGUGUCGUGCUGUCGAGAGAAAGGUGGAUCCCAACAACAGGAAACUACCUAAAUCACCGACCAGUUCUGGUGCUGCCAGCGCGGGGCUGCCUCGCCCGCCGCCGCCGCCGCCGCCGCCGCCGCCACCGCCGCAGCCAAGGGAGAACCCUGCGAUCGCGCCCGGCUCGGCCCCUUGCCAACCUGCGCCCGCGUUGCCACUGUGUGUCCCCCGCUGCCGCUAAGGCAUCGCGGCGGGAGAAGCCACCGGCCCCGGUUUGACCCUUUUAUGCAUGUAACUUCACAGUAUAAAGGAAACCCAAACAAUGUCUCCCUUCUCUAGUCUAUUCCGCUUGCCCAGCGCUCCUCGGAUUCUGUGAAUUUUAGGAAGGAAAAUAUAAAAGAGGAAGAAGAAAAAAGAAAAUGAGAAAGGAAACUCUCCACAAGAUAGGGAGAAUUGUGGUGUGCUUGUCGUGUUACCAGUGGUAACAAUUAUUUAAUGACCAAAAAAACCCCACUAAAUCUGCACGCAUAAACAAAACUAUAUUAGAUUAUUUAUCUACAGCCAGAAGGAUAUGAAAAUUCCGAGGUAAGUGAAAUAAUUUAGUCCCACAAUGCAAGACCUUACACAAACUGGAAGAGAAGUUUCCUUCUCUUGGUUAUUCUUUUUUUUUUUUCCUCCCUUUUAAAGCUGGGAUAUCUUACAGAGGAAGGAAAGAUUACUCGUUAUGACUCUCAAUUUUCUAAUCAGCCAAAGCCAAGCCCUUUUGCCAGCCUGCAUGUCCAUGCUUGCAAGCCCUUCUUUUUGCCAAGGAAGAGAGAAAGAAAGAAAAAAGAAACCCAGGGGCCUAUGUCCCCUGAUUAAACACAGCCCAGCACUCCAGGCAGGCGAGCCCGGUGGCGGCUCCUUGCACCAUUGACCUCAGGCCAGACACCUCAGCGCCUACAAGGGGACCUCGGCCUUCCGGCUAGGUUUGCCCGCCCCCGCAGGAAACCAGCUCCACCGGGAGGACAGGAGCCAUUUCCAGCAGAGGAACCCCGAGACAGCAAACCAGCCCAGUCACCACUCAACACUUGAGGAUAAUAUUUCUCUCUAUAGAAAUGCAGCACGAUAUGGCUUUUUCCCCCAGAAAACAAGUAAACCAGCACAAGCAAACAGACAAAGAAACAAAAAGUCAGAACAAACCAGCCCUGCACAGAUGUGACGGCCAUCGAGAUGGCAAGUGUGGGAGGGAGGAGUGGGACUCCGGCACAGGUGCGAGUUCCUGGGCAGAGGCCGAAGACAGAGGGAGGAAAACGGCUCUCUGGCAGCGGGAAAAAUCGGCGUUGCCUGGAGCUUCAUCAGGAAAAAUUAAAAUUGGCUGUGAGCUCCCGGA